GAUCGUGUGGCCUAAUGGAUAAGGCGUCGGACUUCUACCUGAGCAGUGAUCCGAAAAUUGCGGGUUCGAUUCCCGCCACGAUUA
rnacentral:tRNA from 1 species